rnacentral:rRNA from 1 species
UACGUAGGGUGCAAGCGUUGUCCGGAAUUAUUGGGCGUAAAGAGCUCGUAGGCGGUGUGUCGCGUCGGCCGUGAAAACCUGCAGCUUAACUGUGGGCGUGCGGUCGAUACGGGCAUCACUGGAGUUCGGCAGGGGAGACUGGAAUUCCUGGUGUAGCGGUGAAAUUCGUAGAUAUUGGGAAGAACACCGGUGGCGAAGGCGGCUCUCUGGACCGAGACUGACGCUGAGGCGCGAAAGCGUGGGGAGCAAACAGG